GGUUAAGUGACUAAGCGUACACGGUGGAUGCCUGGGCAGUCAGAGGCGAUGAAGGACGUACUAACUUGCGAUAAGCGCAGAUAAGGCAGUAAGAGCCGUUUGAGUCUGCGAUUUCCGAAUGGGGAAACCCAACUGCAUAAGCAGUUACUGUUAACUGAAUACAUAGGUUAACAGAGCAAACCGGGGGAACUGAAACAUCUAAGUACCCCGAGGAGAAGAAAUCAACCGAGAUUCCGGUAGUAGCGGCGAGCGAACCUGGAUUAGCCCUUAAGCACUCGGUGAAGUAGGUGAACAAGCUGGAAAGCUUGGCGAUACAGGGUGAUAGCCCCGUAACCGACGCUUCAUCGAGCGUGAAAUCGAGUAGGGCGGGACACGUGAUAUCCUGUCUGAAUAUGGGGGGACCAUCCUCCAAGGCUAAAUACUCCUGACUGACCGAUAGUGAACCAGUACCGUGAGGGAAAGGCGAAAAGAACCCCUGUGAGGGGAGUGAAAUAGAACCUGAAACCGUGUACGUACAAGCAGUAGGAGCACCUUCGUGGUGUGACUGCGUACCUUUUGUAUAAUGGGUCAGCGACUUAUAUUCAGUGGCAAGGUUAACCGUAUAGGGGAGCCGUAGCGAAAGCGAGUCUUAACUGGGCGCUCAGUCUCUGGAUAUAGACCCGAAACCGGGUGAUCUAGCCAUGGGCAGGUUGAAGGUUGAGUAACAUCAACUGGAGGACCGAACCGACUAAUGUUGAAAAAUUAGCGGAUGACUUGUGGCUAGGGGUGAAAGGCCAAUCAAACUCGGAGAUAGCUGGUUCUCCCCGAAAGCUAUUUAGGUAGCGCCUCGGACGAAUACUACUGGGGGUAGAGCACUGUUAAGGCUAGGGGGUCAUCCCGACUUACCAACCCUUUGCAAACUCCGAAUACCAGUAAGUACUAUCCGGGAGACACACGGCGGGUGCUAACGUCCGUCGUGGAGAGGGAAACAACCCAGACCGCCAGCUAAGGUCCCAAAGUAUUGCUAAGUGGGAAACGAUGUGGGAAGGCUCAGACAGCUAGGAUGUUGGCUUAGAAGCAGCCAUCAUUUAAAGAAAGCGUAAUAGCUCACUAGUCGAGUCGGCCUGCGCGGAAGAUGUAACGGGGCUAAGCAAUACACCGAAGCUGCGGCAAUGUCUUUUAGACAUUGGGUAGGGGAGCGUUCUGUAAGCCGUUGAAGGUGAAUCGUAAGGUUUGCUGGAGGUAUCAGAAGUGCGAAUGCUGACAUGAGUAACGACAAAGGGGGUGAAAAACCUCCUCGCCGGAAGACCAAGGGUUCCUGUCCAACGUUAAUCGGGGCAGGGUGAGUCGACCCCUAAGGUGAGGCCGAAAGGCGUAAUCGAUGGGAAACGGGUUAAUAUUCCCGUACUUCUGACUAUUGCGAUGGGGGGACGGAGAAGGCUAGGUGGGCCAGGCGACGGUUGUCCUGGUUCAAGUGCGUAGGCUUGAGAGUUAGGUAAAUCCGGCUCUCUCUAAGGCUGAGACACGACGUCGAGCUACUACGGUAGUGAAGUCAUUGAUGCCAUGCUUCCAGGAAAAGCCUCUAAGCUUCAGAUAGUCAGGAAUCGUACCCCAAACCGACACAGGUGGUCGGGUAGAGAAUACCAAGGCGCUUGAGAGAACUCGGGUGAAGGAACUAGGCAAAAUGGUACCGUAACUUCGGGAGAAGGUACGCUCUUGAUGGUGAAGUCCCUCGCGGAUGGAGCUGACGAGAGUCGCAGAUACCAGGUGGCUGCAACUGUUUAUUAAAAACACAGCACUGUGCAAAAUCGCAAGAUGACGUAUACGGUGUGACGCCUGCCCGGUGCCGAAGGUUAAUUGAUGGGGUUAGCGCAAGCGAAGCUCUUGAUCGAAGCCCCGGUAAACGGCGGCCGUAACUAUAACGGUUAAGGUAGCGAAAUUCCUUGUCGGUAAGUUCCGACCUGCACGAAUGGCGUAAUGAUGGCCACGCUGUCUCCACCCGAGACUCAGUGAAAUUGAAAUCGCUGUGAAGAUGCAGUGUACCCGCGGCUAGACGGAAAGACCCCGUGAACCUUUACUACAGCUUGGCACUGAACAUUGAACCUACAUGUGUAGGAUAGGUGGGAGGCUAUGAAGACGUGACGCCAGUUGCGUUGGAGCCGUCCUUGAAAUACCACCCUUGUAUGUUUGAUGUUCUAACUUAGACCCCGGGUUGAGGACAGUGCCUGGUGGGUAGUUUGACUGGGGCGGUCUCCUCCCAAAGAGUAACGGAGGAGCACAAAGGUGGGCUAAUCACGGUUGGACAUCGUGAGGUUAGUGCAAUGGCAUAAGCCCGCUUAACUGCGAGAAUGACGGUUCGAGCAGGUGCGAAAGCAGGUCAUAGUGAUCCGGUGGUUCUGUAUGGAAGGGCCAUCGCUCAACGGAUAAAAGGUACUCCGGGGAUAACAGGCUGAUACCGCCCAAGAGUUCAUAUCGACGGCGGUGUUUGGCACCUCGAUGUCGGCUCAUCACAUCCUGGGGCUGAAGUCGGUCCCAAGGGUAUGGCUGUUCGCCAUUUAAAGUGGUACGCGAGCUGGGUUUAGAACGUCGUGAGACAGUUCGGUCCCUAUCUGCCGUGGGCGUUGGAAGAUUGAAGGGGGCUGCUCCUAGUACGAGAGGACCGGAGUGGACGAACCUCUGGUGUUCGGGUUGUGUCGCCAGACGCAUUGCCCGGUAGCUAAGUUCGGAAUUGAUAAGCGCUGAAAGCAUCUAAGCGCGAAGCGAGCCCUGAGAUGAGUCUUCCCUGACAGUUUAACUGUCCUAAAGGGUUGUUCGAGACUAGAACGUUGAUAGGCAGGGUGUGUAAGCGUUGUGAGGCGUUGAGCUAACCUGUACUAAUUGCCCGUGAGGCUUAACCAU
rnacentral:rRNA from 1 species